AGAGGCUUCUUUCUGGGGUUCCUCUGCAGGGCCGUUAGAGGCCACGUCCUUUGGUUGUGAUCCUGAUGCACCUUCAGCUGCUGACCCAGUUGCUUUGGAUGAUGUUUCUUUUCCAUCCUUUGCGUCUUUGGCAUCUUUAGCAGGAGCAGGUGGUGGAGGAAUCAUGUGAGGUGGUGGUGUAUGCUUCAGCUUUAGCAGUAUUUGUCGCAUCCUGGAAAGAUCUGUGGGUUUGCCGGGCUUAGGGCCUUGGACAACAGUGAUUGAUGGCUUCUUAUCCUGGUCUUUUUUGCCUCUCCUCUUUUCAAUGUUGGCAACCUCAC
rnacentral:lncRNA from 1 species